GAUGAACGCUGGCGGCGUGCCUAAUACAUGCAAGUCGAGCGAACAGACGAUGAGCUUGCUCCUCUGACGUUAGCGGCGGACGUGUGAGUAACACGUGGAUAACCUACCUAUAAUACUGGGAUAACUUCGGGAAACCGGAGCUAAUACCGGAUAAUAUAUUUAACCGCAUGGUUCAAUAGUUAAAUACGGUUUUUCUGUCUCUUUUAGAUUGUUCCGCGCCGCAUUAUCUAGUUGGUAAGGUAACGGCUUACCAAGGCAACGAUGCGUAGCCGACGUGAGAGGGUGAUCGGCGACACGGGAACGGAGACACGGUACAGACGCCUACGGGAGGCAGAAGUAGGGAAUAUUCCGCAAUGGGGGAAAGCAUGACGGAGCAACGGCGCGUGAGUGAUGAAGGUCUUCGGAUCGUAAAACUCUGUUAUUAGGGAAGAACAAAUGUGUAAGUAACUAUGCACGUAUUGACGGUAACUAAUCAGAAAGCAACGGCUAACUACGUG
rnacentral:rRNA from 1 species